rnacentral:rRNA from 1 species
GGAAUUUUCCGCAAUGGGCGAAAGCCUGACGGAGCAAUACCGCGUGAGGGAAGACUGCCUAUGGGUUGUAAACCUCUUUUUUCAGGGAGGAAUAAAAUGACGUGUACCUGAAGAAUAAGCAUCGGCUAACCCCGUGCCAGCAGCCGCGGUAAUACGGGGGGGGCGAGCGUUGUUCGGAAUUACUGGGCGUAAAGGGCUCGUAGGCGGCCAGCCAAGUCGGACGUGAAAUCCCUCGGCUCAACCGGGGAACUGCGUCCGAUACUGGUUGGCUUGAAUCCGGGAGAGGGAUGCGGAAUUCCAGGUGUAGCGGUGAAAUGCGUAGAUAUCUGGAGGAACACCGGUGGCGAAGGCGGCAUCCUGGACCGGUAUUGACGCUGAGGAGCGAAAGCCAGGGGAGCAAACGGGAUUAGAUACCCCAGUAGUC